rnacentral:rRNA from 1 species
ACGGAGGAUCCAAGCGUUAUCCGGAAUUACUGGGCGUAAAGAGUUGCGUAGGUGGCAUAGUAAGUUGGUAGUGAAAGCGUUCGGCUCAACCGGAUACACAUUACCAAAACUGCUAAGCUAGAGGAUGAGAGAGGUUAUUGGAAUUCCCUGUGUAGGAGUGAAAUCCGUAGAUAUAGGGAGGAACACCGAUGGCGUAGGCAGAUAACUGGCUCAUUCCUGACACUAAGGCACGAAAGCGUGGGGAGCAAACGGGA